UCCUUGGAGAUAGUUCAGUCGGUAGAGCAUAAAACCCUUAAUCUCACGGUCGUGUGUUUGAGCCCCAUGUUGGGUGAA